CAGUUCCCGAACCAAGACCACCCCAGAAACCCAUUAGAAUGUGGAACGUUAAGUGCCCUGUACGAAAACCGCAAAGGAAAUAAUUAAUAGAAUGCUCCACAUGGUGGCCAUUUUGUAUCCUGAACACUGGCAGUGGGACUUGGUCGUUGAGUACCUGGAACGCAUUUUGGGCAGGGACUCCCGCAAACAUGGUCACCAUGGACCUACUGCCUGUUCUCGUUCCAGUUCUCCUAUGUGAACAGCGUUUGGGAGUUACAGAUUAC